GAUGAACGCUGGCGGCGUGCUUAACACAUGCAAGUCGAACGGGGGAUGUACAGCGGGAAGAUUUCGGUCGGACCAAGUGCAUGCCUAGUGGCGGACGGGUGAGUAACGCGUGGGUAACCUGCCUUACACAGGGGGAUAACACUUAGAAAUAGGUGCUAAUACCGCAUGAGCGCACAGGACCGCAUGGUCGAGUGUGAAAAACUGAGGUGGUGUAAGAUGGACCCGCGUCUGAUUAGCUAGUUGGUGAGGUAACGGCCCACCAAGGCGACGAUCAGUAGCCGGCCUGAGAGGGUGGACGGCCACAUUGGGACUGAGACACGGCCCAA
rnacentral:rRNA from 1 species